GACGAACGCUGGCGGCGCGCUUAACACAUGCAAGUCGAACGGAAAGGCCUGCUUUCCCUUGUGGAUUGCGGGUACUCGAGUGGCGAACGGGUGAGUAACACGUGAGUGAUCUGCCCCCAACUUGGGUAUAAGCCUGGGAAACUGGGUCUAAUUCCCGAUAGGACUGCAGGGUGGUGCCUGUGGUGGAAAACGAUUUUCUAGUGGUUGGGGAUGAGCUCGCGGCCUAUCAGCUUGUUGGUGGGGUAAUGGCCUACCAAGGCGGCGACGGGUAGCCGGCCUGAGAGGGUGGACGGCCACAUUGGGACGGAGAUACGGCCCAGACUCCUACGGCAGGCAGCAGUGGGGAAUAUUGCACAAUGGGCGGAAGCCUGAUGCAGCGACGCCGCGUGGGGGAUGACGGCCUUCGGGUUGUAAACUCCUUUCGACCGCGAGGAAGCCACCUGGUUGGAAGGGUGGUGACGGUAGUGGUAGAAGAAGCACCGGCUAACUACGUG
rnacentral:rRNA from 1 species